rnacentral:rRNA from 1 species
GAUGAACGCUGGCGGCGUGCCUAAUACAUGCAAGUCGAGCGAACAGACGAGGAUCUUGCUCCUCUGACGUUAGCGGCGGACGGGUGAGUAACACGUGGAUAACCUACCUAUAAGACUGGGAUAACUUCGGGAAACCGGAGCUAAGACCGGAUAAUAUAUUGAACCGCAUGGUUCAAUAGUGAAAGACGGUUUUGCUGUCACUUAUAGAUGGAUCCGCGCCGCAUUAGCUAGUUGGUAAGGUAACGGCUUACCAAGGCAACGAUGCGUAGCCGACCUGAGAGGGUGAGCGGCCACACUGGAACUGAGACACGGUCCAGACUCCUACGGGAGGCAGCAGUAGGGAAUCUUCCGCAAUGGGCGAAAGCCUGACGGAGCAACGCCGCGUGAGUGAUGAAGGUCUUCGGAUCGUAAAACUCUGUUAUUAGGGAAGAACAAAUGUGUAAGUAACUAUGCACGUCUUGACGGUACCUAAUCAGAAAGCCACGGCUAACUACGUG